GACGAACGCUGGCGGCGUGCUUAACACAUGCAAGUCGAACGGAAAGGCCCUGCUUUUGUGGGGUGCUCGAGUGGCGAACGGGUGAGUAACACGUGAGUAACCUGCCCUUGACUUUGGGAUAACUUCAGGAAACUGGGGCUAAUACCGGAUAGGAGCUCCUGCUGCAUGGUGGGGGUUGGAAAGUUUCGGCGGUUGGGGAUGGACUCGCGGCUUAUCAGCUUGUUGGUGGGGUAGUGGCUUACCAAGGCAUUGACGGGUAGCCGGCCUGAGAGGGUGACCGGCCACGUUGGGACUGGGAUACGGCCCAGACUCCUACGGGAGGCAGCAGUGGGGAAUGUUGCACAGUGGGCGGAAGCCUGACGCAGCAACGCCGCGUGCGGGAAGACGGCCUUCGGGUUGUUAUCCGCUUUCGCCUGUGACGAGGCGUGAGUGACGGUAAUGGGUAAAGAAGCACCGGCUAACUACGUG
rnacentral:rRNA from 1 species